UACGUAGGGUGCGAGCGUUAAUCGGAAUUACUGGGCGUAAAGCGUGCGCAGGCGGUUGUGCAAGUCAGAUGUGAAAUCCCCGGGCUCAACCUGGGAACUGCAUUUGUGACUGCACGGCUGGAGUGCGGCAGAGGGGGAUGGAAUUCCGCGUGUAGCAGUGAAAUGCGUAGAUAUGCGGAGGAAUACCGAUGGCGAAGGCAAUCCCCUGGGCCUGCACUGACGCUCAUGCACGAAAGCGUGGGGAGCAAACAGG
rnacentral:rRNA from 1 species